UACGUAGGUGGCAAGCGUUGUCCGGAAUUAUUGGGCGUAAAGCGCGCGCAGGCGGUCCUUUAAGUCUGAUGUGAAAGCCCACGGCUCAACCGUGGAGGGUCAUUGGAAACUGGGGGACUUAGUGCAGAAGAGGAAAGCGGAAUUCCACGUGUAGCGGUGAAAUGCGUAGAGAUGUGGAGGAACACCAGUGGCGAAGGCGGCUUUCUGGUCUGUAACUGACGCUGAGGCGCGAAAGCGUGGGGAGCAAACAGG
rnacentral:rRNA from 1 species